rnacentral:rRNA from 1 species
UACGAAGGGGGCUAGCGUUGCUCGGAAUCACUGGGCGUAAAGCGCACGUAGGCGGAUUGCUAAGUCAGGGGUGAAAUCCUGGGGCUCAACUCCAGAACUGCCUUUGAUACUGGCGAUCUUGAGUCCGGGAGAGGUGAGUGGAACUGCGAGUGUAGAGGUGAAAUUCGUAGAUAUUCGCAAGAACACCAGUGGCGAAGGCGGCUCACUGGCCCGGUACUGACGCUGAGGUGCGAAAGCGUGGGGAGCAAACAGG